rnacentral:rRNA from 1 species
AGUGAACGCUGGCGGUAGGCCUAACACAUGCAAGUCGAACGACAGCACAGUAAGAGCUUGCUCUUACGGGUGGCGAGUGGCGGGUGGGUGAGGAAUACAUCGGAAUCUACUUUUUCUGGGGGGAUAACGGGGGGAAACUGACGAUAAUACCGCAUACGUCCUACGGGUGAAAGCAGUGGAUCUUCGGAGCUUGCCCGACUGAAUGAGCCGAUGUCGGAUUAGCUAGUUGGCGGGGUAAAGGCCCACCAAGGCGACGAUGCGUAGCUGGUCUGAGAGGAUGAUCAGCCACACUGGAACUGAGACACGGUCCAGACUCCUACGGGAGGCAGCAGUGGGGAAUAUUGCACAAUGGGCGAAAGCCUGACGGAGCAACGCCGCGUGAGUGAAGAAGGUCUUCGGAUUGUAAAGCUCUUUUAUUGGGGAAGAAAAACAGUGUGAUAAACUAUCGAUGUCCUGACGGUACCUAAAGAAAAAGCCACGGCUAACUUCGUG